rnacentral:rRNA from 1 species
CCGGCGCACGGGUGAGUAACACGUAUGCAAUCCACCUGUAACGGGGGGAUAACCCGGAGAAAUCCGGACUAAUACCCCAUAAUAUGGGCGCUCCGCAUGGAGAGCCCAUUAAAGAGAGCAAUUUUGGUUACAGACGAGCAUGCGCUCCAUUAGCCAGUUGGCGGGGUAACGGCCCACCAAAGCGACGAUGGAUAGGGGUUCUGAGAGGAAGGUCCCCCACAUUGGAACUGAGACACGGUCCAA